UUGGGGAAAAUAAAAAGUUAAAUUACGUUUCAGGGUUACUGGUCAUCUGUGAUUCACUGCCACAAACAGUUAAACUGCAGUGGGAGAAAGAAGGUUUUGUGUAAGGUAUUGGAGUGACUUCUGGAAAUGUAGCUCACCUGAUGUUUGUGUUUCCUUUUCUUGCUAACUCCAUGAAAGGAAAGACUUUUGUUGAGAGUAGAGAACAAAAAGCGGGAUGGGGGUAAAAGGAGGGCAUUUACAAUGGCCACAUCACAUAAACUAUGAUUUAAAGUUAUCUAAGUGGAGUAGCUACACAAACAGGUGGAGAGGGGAAAACCUAGUUAUUCAACUAGUAAUUUAUGUAUGCAAUGUUAAAACAGGAAUGGCAGUUUUUGUUUUUUUUUUUCCCCAAAGCUUGGGUUAAGGAGCUAAUCUGUUCUUGUGGCAAAAAGAGGCCAAGUUUUGGGACACUGGAAUGUGCUGGAGGGCAGACUGAGAAAGGGGCAGGACUGAAAUCAAACCACGGCCAUUGUUGAAUUGGGGGCCUUAUCUGAAAAGAAGCUAAAGGAUGAUGGGAUGGCUGCUGGUGAGCUCCUUGUAGUUCACAGACACAAAACGUGGACACAGAAUGCCUUGGUCAUUAAAAACAAUCCACAUCUGACUGAACUGAAUGAAAUGGAGAAUUCAUAGAGUCAUUCUGCCUCUCCUACUCCAUAGAAAUGUAAUCACUGAGCUAUGAUUUCAUGCCCUCUUC
rnacentral:lncRNA from 1 species